UUAAGGGCAUAUUUCAAUCAAGUUUUAUCAAGUUCUUUUAAGAUUAAAACUUACCUAUAUAUACCGAUUAAGUUGGAGAAAAUGUCAGUACAAGAGGGCUGAAAGACGUUGGCAACCAACGAAUAAAAGCAAAAAUGUGAAAUUUGUCCUGCGUGGUUGAGGACUAAGUGAAGAGUUUAAGAAAUUUGUCCUCACCGUGCUCUUAUCUCUCUCUGCUCUCUGUUCUCUUGAUCAUCGACAGCCACUAUCACACCACAACUCGCCAACUCCAGCGAGACCACACCACCAACCCACUACCACUCUCUCCCUCUCUCCUCACCCUGAACCCAGAAUUUCGAACUGAGGAAGAUCCCAUUUCUACCGUUGUCCGUCCAACUUUAGCCGUCCUUUGAUCCACCUCCGAGGAAGAUCUCGCACUCACCGUCCUCGAUUCAAUUCCGCUGAGGAGUUGUGUAGGUUAAUUUACUUUAUUUCCUGUAUUUUUUUUUUUUUGGUUCAAUUUCAAACUCGUGAUGCAACUCUAAAAAGAGCAGCAAAGCCUUUGACCCGCAGCUCCAGCAUCGACCCCCUUCUCCAACCCCACCAGCUUGUUAAUCAGAAAUAUCUUAUUCGUGCAGCAGUUUGAGAUCCUACGUGCACUCGUUCCGUUGUUUGCACAGGAAGUUCUCGUUUGUACAUGUGGACUCCUGGUGUUGCCUACAGUGUGAGCAUCCCUCCCUAACCACAAUUUAGCAUGCUUGAUCUAAAAUGGAAUUGAGUUGGAAGCUGUCUCCUCCUGAAGGAUAAAGAGUUGUUUUGCUGUGCUUCUGUUGCAGUUCUUGAAUUUAGUAAAUAUAGCUCGGAUGAUUGAGGCAGUUAGCUAUUUUCCAGAGUUUAUUGUAAAAAAUUGUAGAAUGUACAAUUAAGCAAUUUAUCUUGCUUUGCUGUGUAUUGUGUUAAUGUAGUAUUGGGAUCUUUCAUUUGUUCUAGUUGGAACAUCCAACAGUUCGAUUAAAUUGGUGACCUUUCCGUCUCUCA